GCCAUCGUGGUGUAAUGGUCAGCACACUCGUCACGUAUCCGAGAGGUCCGAUGUUCGAGUCCCGGCGAAGGCA
rfam:Stegodyphus mimosarum contig104381, whole genome shotgun sequence.